rnacentral:tRNA from 1 species
GCCUGGGUGGCGGAAUAGGUAGACGCAAGGGACUUAAAAUCCCUCGGGGCUUAGUCCCUGUACGAGUUCAAUUCUCGUCCCGGGCACCA